GACAGAGGAUGCAAGCGUUAUCCGGAAUGAUUGGGCGUAAAGCGUCUGUAGGUGGCUUUUUAAGUCCGCCGUCAAAUCCCAGGGCUCAACCCUGGACAGGCGGUGGAAACUACCAAGCUGGAGUACGGUAGGGGCAGAGGGAAUUUCCGGUGGAGCGGUGAAAUGCGUAGAGAUCCGGAAGAACACCGGUGGCGAAGGCGGCCUGCUGGGCAGUAGCUGACGCUGAUGCGCGACAGCGUGGGGAGCAAACAGG
rnacentral:rRNA from 1 species